rnacentral:rRNA from 1 species
UCCUAGCCGUAAACGAUGAUCACUUGGUGUUGGGUCCUUAGGGCUCAAUGCCGAAGUUAACACAUUAAGUGAUCCACCUGGGGACUACGGCCGCAAGGUUGAAACUCAAAGAAAUUGACGGGGACCCGCACAAGCGGUGGAGCAUGUGGUUUAAUACGACGCUACACGUGGAACCUUACCAGGGCUUGAAAAGUGCAUGAAAUCUCUAUGAAAGUAGGGACCUCCUUUCCGGGACAUGCAUACAGGUGUUGCAUGGCUGUCGUCAGCUCGUGUCGUGAGAUGUUGGGUUAAGUCCCGCAACGAGCGCAACCAUCAUCCUUAGUUGCCAUCGGUUCGGCCGGGCACUCUAAGGAGACUGCCGGCGAUAAGCUGGAGGAAGGCGGAGAUGACGUCAAGUCAGUACGGCCCUUACGUCCUGGGCU